CAUCCUCACGGUGCUGUUAAGGCAGGUGGCACUACAGCCUUCUCGCCACAUGCAACAACUGGCUGGGGGAGAGAAACAGAUUGCCCAAGAUCACAAACUUGUAAAACCAGAAAACAGGUUUUGGAACCUGGCUUAUUUAUUCCCCAAACCCGUGUCCUUUCCACUUGACUGUCUUGAAUUUCUGAGGCAAAUCAGAGAGUGGACACAGACAUUCAAGGGGAUGCAGGCUUCUGAUGACAGUCCUCAGCUCUUCUCUAAGGAACCGGAGGGGACUCACAAUCAGCGAGGUCAUUUCGGGAGUUCCGACCCCUGGAGUCUGACUCUCUUGGUGUCCCACACCAUUCCCGCCCCUGGAAGUCUGGUCGGGAUGAGCUGUUAGUCUUUGCUUCUCAUCUCCAGCAGGUUGGAGCUCUCUGCCUGUCUAACCGAGGCGCUGGGCCUGUUGUCCUUCUGUGACCUUCGUCUGUGUUCCGCAUCAGCAUCGCCUUUUCCAUGAUGAUUCGGGGAGGCAGGAGGGCACGAUGGUGCGGGUGCCAAACUUGAGAUGGAAUCCUCUUUGAUAGGUCCAUGGUUCCCAAACUGCGCACCGCAGCACCCAGGGACACCAUGACAGAUUCACGGGGACACCAUGGAAUGAUUGCAGUCUCUGAGAGAAACCCAGCGAUAUCCAACUUCUGUUGACCAGCACAGGAACCAUUAGCUCAAGGUAGCUCACAGUUUCAAAAUGAGACUACACUACAUUUCUUUUCAUGACAUCAUAUCUUUGCAAAGGUGGUGUUUUGGUGAUUGCUGUGAUAAAAAGUCGGCACCUCCGGAAAGGCAGAGUGGGACGGGAAAUAAGGGGGGUGGUAUCCCGUCUGAUUCUAAGGCUUCAGAAGCUGUGGAGGGCCCACCACCUACACACAUCCUAUUGCCACCAUCUACUGUGCCCUGUGUGUGUGCUCGACAUCUGCUGUCUCGCUCGUUCCUCAUGAACGGCAAUAGCUUCACAGACGAGAAGACUGUCCACACAUCUGGAAAGUGGGAACUAAAUUUCUAACCGGGACGGGCGGAGAAGGAGUUGCAUGAAGACUCCCCGUUCUCUGAGAGGUUGGCUGGGCCUGGGCUCAACUACCACAGGGGACCUGGGGGUGGGGCGGUUGACGCUGGCCUGCUUCCUUCGAAGAGUGCAUUCUGGAACUUGAAAGGAGGAUUCAAGUCACUAAAUGGGCACCCUGACACCUUCUGGGCAAAGGUGAAUGUCCUUACAGUUUUCCACAUAGAAGAACUCAAGUGCAGAGUACUUAAGAAACAUCUACAGUCAGGGAGGCGGGAGGGAGGUGGCAGGAAGCCCGAUUUGAAUUGACUUCUCAGAUUUCUUACUCUAAUUGCUUCACUAUAUUUUCACUAUAUUUUAAAACACUAAAAUGUCUCAAGCUUUUGGCGAGAAGUUUUAAAACAUCAAAAUUCAAUUCUCUGCCAAUUAACAGUCAUUUAAUUUAGAAGUACCUAAUUGAGUUUUCUGAUUUUAAGGUACUAAUGGACUAGAAACUCGUUUGUGCGAUUUCAGCCCAAAGCUAGAUAGUUACGGGUAAGCUGUAUCCUUUCUAAUAGACCUUGAGCGGCAGGGACUUUUCCUGGCAGGUGAGACUAUAACGAGCUUUAAGCUCUUGCUCAAGUGUAUUCUCCACCUGGACUUGAAUCUGUAAUGAAUCAGCCGCUGGAGUCCAAGUGGCCCUCUCAGGAGGCCAGCUGGGUGACAAGGUCAGGGAAAAUUGGUCUUUGCUGGAAGUGUCCUCAGCAAAAAUAUCUCAUUUAAAACCUUCUGGAAGUUGGCAUUUUCUUUUCUUCUUUACAUCAGUGCCCAUACUCCGAUGAGCAGAGCAGAAUAGACACAAAAUUUUGUUAAUACAAUUGUCAUCAGGAUCUAAGAAACCUCAGACAGCAAAGAGACAACGAAAGUACAUUUAAAAUAUUAGAUGUUAUGGGAGAUACUGGGCAUGUUUGUGAGUUCGUGUGACUUGAUAUGUAGCUAAGGCACACUCACAUCAAUUGAGGUGGUGAAGAGUCAUGUCCAACACAGAGGGAUACGUAUUUCUACGACUAAGCUUAGCUCGAAUGUUUCUACAAGAAAGGAACCGAUUCUUACAGUCACACACGCAGGAUUCAAGGUUCCAAAGAUGUAACCACCCAAAGCGUUUACUACAAAACAGUAUAUUUCAACCCUCCUAGUUGUACUACAGUGAUUGGAGAGAGAAAACUAACACAUUUAAUGGGGCUCCUAGCCCAGUGCCUUACAUGUAGUUGAGGCUGUAUUAAUGUUUGUUGAAUGAAUACAUGAAUAUAUGAAUGAAUAAUAAAGUGACAGAAUCAACCAAGCUCCUUUUGUGUCACACUGGCUUUUAAAAGGGGUUUUUAAGUUGAAUCCAAAAGUGCUGUGAAGGCGAAUAUGAUUGUACUACACAAACGAUCCUUGGGUAAAAUUAUUUUCUCUGAAAGCACUCCUGCCUAGAAAUUAGUGUUGGUGUCCUCAGAUUUGGUUGGCCGAACCACCAAGGCGUUCUGAGACCUGCCUCUUGGCCUCCAGAAGAACACGUUGGGGUGGGUCUCCCCACUGCCGGGUCUGCCCCUAGGAGUGGAAAGGAGACGCACCCUACAAGAGGAGGAUAUUCCUACACAGAGGCAGGCGAUACCUGGACACCCAGAGUCUCUCAAAAGGGCUUCCCGUGACUGAAGAAGGGGUUGUAGACGCUCUGAGCCUCCUACGCUGUCGAGCCACUGUUCCUGAAAAGCCAGCGAAUCCCUGUAACAGAGGAUGUGGGGUGGAACAGAAACCGCAUCAUGGACUUUGAAAUCAGAAUUUGGAGUUCGAAUAAAAACAAUCACUAGCUAUGACUCUUACUUCACUUCUUUGAGACUCAGUUUCUCUCUGUGUAAAAUGAGAGUAAUAAACCUACUCUUUCGAAGCGUGAGAUAACGUGUAGAAUGGACUAGCACAAGACCACUCUCCCAGCAGUGGUUGAUAAAUGGUAACCAUUGAUGUUACUGAACAGAUAGACAUCCUGCCUUGGUGCGCUCCUUACCUGUCUCUACCUCUGCAGAAUUUGGAGAAGAGCUGGACUAGGUUAGCGUCUCGCGAACCUGGCUGUGUAUUUGGAGUCACACGAUGUUGAUUGUGCAUCUACUAUAAGCCAGAAGUAUGCUGGGUGUCACACAGAAAGCGUUGACAAAACAAAUACGGCCCCCUGUCCUCAUGGAGUUUACUGUCUAGGAGGGAAGAUGGACAUGAAGCCAGUAAUCCCUGGGCAGAAAGAUCAGAAAAUGUGAAAUGGUCAUUGGUGAUCCCACAAUCGAAGCUUUCUUGUUCUGAACUAUUUUUAACCCUGUUCUUUCCUUGUUUCCUGUCUCUUCCCAUGGACUGCAGGGAAUUUCAGAAGAAAUGCAGUACUCUCCAAUUCUCCAGUCACAACAAUUUUUAAAGUUACAGGCUUCAAGAAAGCUUAAAAUGCACAAUUCAAUGUAUGAGUUAGUAUUCUUAUUGCAGAGAACAGAAUCUUCUCUGGUGAGUGCAAAAGAGUGGUAUUUCCUAGGGAAUAUUGAUAAUUCCCCACCUGUGGGGAGAUGUGAGGGAGUGGACCUAGGCUGAGUUCUCAGGGGUGAGCCCUGAGCCACACUGUAGAAGCAGGCCAUUAAGGGUGGCUGUCACCUCCCCAUUGAUCAGGAAGCUAUCGAAUCAAGAAGUUUCCACUUCAGUUACCAGGUGCGAAUCUACACCUCUCUCCUUCAGUCUGCACCAGCAAACUGAGUGUCCUGUACCCGGCCUGCCCCCGAAACGAUGCAGUUCUGAAUCGAAGUCUCAUGUGAGAGCAUCUGAUUGGGAUGCCCAAACCACAUACAGAAUGGCACUGCAAACCACACCUGAAAAGUGUGGCUUUAGCUUUUUGACCUCAGCUCUCUCAAAGGGCCUGGAGUGGGGGCAGAGUGAGAUGACCCUCAGGAUCCAUCACAAAAGUGAGGGGUAGGGGCUGACCCAUCCGGUGAACAGAGGCACUCUUUAUAAGAAGAGCAGAUUCUCUUGCAUCUCCAACCAUUUCAUUGGCUCCUAGGCAGUGGAAGCACCCUUUUCAGCCGCUUAGUACCUAAUUCAGUUCAACCUAUAAUACACAGAAGAGGUUAAUUAAUCCUUUUGCUCUUGUAAUCCUUUUUGUUAGAUGCCUGACCUGGGGUAGUUUAUUUAUUAGGAGAAUGCCAUCAGUGUCUGGUGUCAGGUUCUUGAUGGGCCAUAGAAUUUCACUUUUGGUUUUGCCGUUUGCUA
rnacentral:lncRNA from 1 species